CAAUAGCGUAUAUUAAAGUUGUUGCAGUUAAAAAGCUCGUAGUUGGAUUUCUGGUUGAAGCGACCGGUCGGGCGUUGAUUCGUCUGCACUGGAGUCGGUUUUGGCCAUCCUCUAGGAAAGUGCGUCUGGUAUUAAGUUAUCGGGCGUAUGAUCCUGGUCUUUUACUGUGAAAAAAUUAGAGUGUUUAAAGCAGGCCUUCGCCUUGAAUACAUUAGCAUGGAAUAAUAAGAUAGGACUUUGGUCUAUUUUGUUUGUUUGCAGACCGAAGUAAUGAUUAAUAGGGAUAGUUGGGGGUAUUUAUAUUCCGAUGUCAGAGGUGAAAUUCUUAGAUUUUCGGAAGAUAAACUUAUGCGAAAGCAUUUACCAAGGAUGUUUUCAUUAA
rnacentral:rRNA from 1 species